rnacentral:rRNA from 1 species
UGGGGAAUUUUGGACAAUGGGGGAAACCCUGAUCCAGCCAUUCCGCGUGAGUGAAGAAGGCCUUCGGGUUGUAAAGCUCUUUCGCAAGGAAAGAAAACUUACCCUCUAAUAUAGGGUGAGGCUGACGGUACCUUGAGAAGAAGCACCGGCUAACUACGUGCCAGCAGUCGCGGUAAUACGUAGGGUGCGAGCGUUAAUCGGAAUUACUGGGCGUAAAGCGUGCGCAGGCGGUUCUGCAAGUCAGAUGUGAAAUCCCCGGGCUCAACCUGGGAACUGCGUUUGAAACUACAGAGCUAGAGUAUGGGAGAGGGAGGUAGAAUUCCGCGUGUAGCAGUGAAAUGCGUAGAGAUGUGGAGGAAUACCAAUGGCGAAGGCAGCCUCCUGGCCUAAUACUGACGCUCAUGCACGAAAGCGUGGGGAGCAAAC